UACGGAGGAGGCAAGCGUUAUCCGGAAUUAUUGGGCGUAAAGCGUCCGCAGGUGGCACUUCAAGUCUGUCGUCAAAGACUGGGGCUUAACCCUGGAAAGGCGGUGGAAACUGAAGCGCUAGAGUGCGGUAGGGGUAGAGGGAAUUCCCGGUGUAGCGGUGAAAUGCGUAGAGAUCGGGAAGAACAUCGGUGGCGAAAGCGGCGCACUGGACCACAACUGACGCUGAGGCGCGAAAGCUAGGGGAGCAAACAGG
rnacentral:rRNA from 1 species